rnacentral:rRNA from 1 species
UACGAGUGCCCCGAGCGUUAUCCGGAAUUAUUGGGCGUAAAGCGUGUGUAGGUGGUUUAGUUAGUCUCCUGCGAAAUUCUUCGGCUUAACCGGGGCAUGAUGGGAGAAACGGCUAAACUUGAGGGUGCGAGGGGUCUGUAGAACUCUAGGUGUAGGGGUGAAAUCCGUUGAUAUCUAGGGGAAUACCAAAAGCGAAGGCAGCAGACUGGCGCAUUCCUGACACUGAGACACUAAAGCGUGGGUAGCGAAUGGG